GUGAUGAAUUUAGUUAUCAAUUAUGGUUAGAACAAACAUGAUUUCCGUGAUUAUCAAUUAUAACUAGGGCGAACUGACUAA
rnacentral:ncRNA from 13 species